rnacentral:lncRNA from 1 species
GAUGAACAAACCUGAGAACUGAUGAUCCAAAGAAGAGUCGGAGCUCGAGCAUCACAUAGCUGUCAGCUACGGUGGAUUGUAGGCGGAUGUGUCUCAGACCUAUGUUUUUGCCGCUGGACCGUGGUUACGUUCAUCCUAGCUUGGAGGCAACGGUGUGGGUGGGUAUGCAUGUGCAAGGCGAAGAAGUGGACGAAGGCUGAAGAAGCAAUCUCUGCCUCCCUAUCGCUGCGUCCUGCUCCUCAAUAUGUCACCUUAGUCAUGGCCGCCUUAUCCCUCAUGCUGCUGAUUUGAAUCUGCCCUAAUCUUCUUCUCCUAGACUGCUCGAGCGCUUCAGCGGGUGCCUUGCCGACGACAGGGAAGGAAGGACCAGAGUAAGUAUAAUAUGGAAGUUCCUGUUCAAAUUAGUAGAAUAUGCUUACCAGGUGUUAGAAUUUAUAGAUAUAUACCACAAUUUUCACUACAGAUUAAAUAUAAUAUGAAAGUUCUUGUCAGUUUUCUUUGUAGUUAGUUUGCGACAAUCACAACAUGAUCAUUUGAAUAUUUUGUUGUAACAAAUCUAUUAUAGCUAUUGUUGUGAAAGAAAAAUCCUUAAAAAAUCACCCAAUAGCAACCCAAGGAAGUUAAGAGACAUAAAUGAUCAGAAUAUGGUUCCAUUAUGCUCCCUCUGUUCGAUAAUAUAUGACGUUUUCUGGCAGUACACAAUGCCAAAAACGUCUUAUAUUAUGGGACAGAAGCGAGUUUGUGAUUUUUUUGGUUAUUCUUGAUUCCACAUGCUUCAUUUGGGUGAAUAAUCCAUUGGCAUCCAAAUUUGGAGAUUAAUUCACCUAUGUAAUGUGCAUAAUCAAUGACACAUUUUUGCUAUGAUGAAUAUGUAAAUAAAUUUUGUACAAUUCCAUAAAUACACAGUUAAGCAUUUUUGUUGUAAAGAUAAUGUAGAUAAUUUUUUAUAGCUUUGCAAAUAAGAUUAACCUUGGUGUAUAAAUCCGAUCAGAGUAGAGGUAGCUAUGCAAUGGUCUUGCGUCACAUCAUUAGUCCAAGGCUCUAAGCACAUUCAUGGAGAAUCUAACAUCCCAACUACGCAUAUCUGUUUGUUCCAGAAGCCACGAAAUUGAGGUACGCAGAAGAUGAACAAACCUGAGAACUGAUGAUCCAAAGAAGAGUCGGAGCUCGAGCAUCACAUAGCUGUCAGCUAUGGUGGCUUGUAGGCGGAUGUGUCUCACACCUAAGUUUUUGCCGCUGGACCGUGGUUACGUUCAUCCUAGCUUGGAGGCAACGGUGUGGGUGGGUAUGCAUGUGCAAGGCGAAGAAGUGGACGAAGGCCGAAGAAGCAAUCUCUGCCUCCCUAUCGCUGCGUCCUGCUCCUCAAUAUGUCACCUUAGUCAUGGCCGCCUUAUCCCUCAUGCUGCUGAUUUGAAUCUGCCCUACUCUUCUUCUCCUAGACUGCUCGAGCGCUUCAGCGGGUGCCUUGCCGACGACAGGGAAGGAAGGACCAGAGUAAGUAUAAUAUGGAAGUUCCUGUUCAAAUUAGUAGAAUAUGCUUACUAGGUGUUAGAAUUUAUAGAUAUAUACCACAAUUUUCACUACAGAUUAAAUAUAAUAUGAAAGUUCUUGUUAGUUUUCUUUGUAGUUAGUUUGCGACAAUCACAACAUGACCAUUUGAAUAUUUUGUUGUAACAAAUCUAUUAUAGCUAUUGUUGUGAAAGAAAAAUCCUUAAAAAAUCACCCAAUAGCAACCCGAGGAAGUUAAGAGACAUAAAUGAUCCAGAUAUGGUUCCAUUAUGCUCCCUCUGUUCGAUAAUAUAUGACGUUUUCUGGCAGUACACAAUGCCAAAAACGUCUUAUAUUAUGGGACAGAAGCGAGUUUGUGAUUAUUUUCGGUUAUUCUUGAUUCCACAUGCUUCAUUUGGGUGAAUAAUCCAUUGGCAUCCAAAUUUGGAGAUUAAUUCACCUAUGUAAUGUGCAUAAUCAAUGACACAUUUUUGCUAUGAUGAAUAUGUAAAUAAAUUUUGUACAAUUCCAUAAAUACAUAGUUAAGAAUUUUUGUUGUAAAGAUAAUGUAGAUAAUUUUUUAUAGCUUUGCAAAUAAGAUUAACCUUGGUGUAUAAAUCCGAUCAGAGUAGAGGUAGCUAUGCAAUGGUCUUGCGUCACAUCAUUAGUCUAAGGCUCUAACCACAUUCAUGGAGAAUCUAACAUCUCAACUACGCAUAUCUGUUUGUUGCAGAAGCCACGAAAUUGAGGUACGCAGAAGAUGAACAAACCUGAGAACUGAUGAUCCAAAGAAGAGUCGGAGCUCGAGCAUCACAUAGCUGUCAGCUACGGUGGAUUGUAGGCGGAUGUGUCUCAGACCUAUGUUUUUGCCGCUGGACCGUGGUUACGUUCAUCCUAGCUUGGAGGCAACGGUGUGGGUGGGUAUGCAUGUGCAAGGCGAAGAAGUGGACGAAGGCUGAAGAAGCAAUCUCUGCCUCCCUAUCGCUGCGUCCUGCUCCUCAAUAUGUCACCUUAGUCAUGGCCGCCUUAUCCCUCAUGCUGCUGAUUUGAAUCUGCCCUAAUCUUCUUCUCCUAGACUGCUCGAGCGCUUCAGCGGGUGCCUUGCCGACGACAGGGAAGGAAGGACCAGAGUAAGUAUAAUAUGGAAGUUCCUGUUCAAAUUAGUAGAAUAUGCUUACCAGGUGUUAGAAUUUAUAGAUAUAUACCACAAUUUUCACUACAGAUUAAAUAUAAUAUGAAAGUUCUUGUCAGUUUUCUUUGUAGUUAGUUUGCGACAAUCACAACAUGAUCAUUUGAAUAUUUUGUUGUAACAAAUCUAUUAUAGCUAUUGUUGUGAAAGAAAAAUCCUUAAAAAAUCACCCAAUAGCAACCCAAGGAAGUUAAGAGACAUAAAUGAUCAGAAUAUGGUUCCAUUAUGCUCCCUCUGUUCGAUAAUAUAUGACGUUUUCUGGCAGUACACAAUGCCAAAAACGUCUUAUAUUAUGGGACAGAAGCGAGUUUGUGAUUUUUUUGGUUAUUCUUGAUUCCACAUGCUUCAUUUGGGUGAAUAAUCCAUUGGCAUCCAAAUUUGGAGAUUAAUUCACCUAUGUAAUGUGCAUAAUCAAUGACACAUUUUUGCUAUGAUGAAUAUCUAAAUAAAUUUUGUGCAAUUCCAUAAAUACACAGUUAAGCAUUUUUGUUGUAAAGAUAAUGUAGAUAAUUUUUUAUAGCUUUGCAAAUAAGAUUAACCUUGGUGUAUAAAUCCGAUCAGAGUAGAGGUAGCUAUGCAAUGGUCUUGCGUCACAUCAUUAGUCUAAGGCUCUAACCACAUUCAUGCAGAAUCUAACAUCCCAACUACGCAUAUCUGUUUGUUCCAGAAGCCAAGAAAUUGAGGUACGCAGAAGAUGAACAAUCCUGAGAAUUGAUGAUCGAAUGAAGAGUCGGAGCUCGAGCAUCACAUAGCCGUCAGCUAUGGUGGCUUGUGGGCGGAUGUUUCUCAGAACUAAGUUGUUGCCGCUGGACCGUGGUUACAUUCAUCCUAGCUUGGAGGAAAGGUGCGGGAAGAUAUGCAUGUGCAGGGCGAAGAAGUGGACGAAGGCCGAAGUAGCAAUCUCUGCCUCCCUAUCGCUGCGUCCUGCUCCUCAAUAUGUCACCUUAGUCAUGGCCGCCUUAUCCCUCAUGCUGCUGAUUUGAAUCUGCCCUACUCUUCUUCUCCUAGACUGCUCGAGCAGCGGGUGCCUUGCCGACGACAGGGAAGGAAGGACCAGAGUAAGUAUAAUAUGGAAGUUCCUGUUCAAAUUAGUAGAAUAUGCUUACCAGGGGUUAGAAUUUAUAGAUAUAUACCACAAUUUUCACUACAGAUUAAAUAUAAUAUGAAAGUUCUUGUCAGUUUUCUUUGUAGUUAGUUUGCGACAAUCACAACAUGAUCAUUUGAAUAUUUUGUUGUAACAAAUCUAUUAUAGCUAUUGUUGUGAAAGAAAAAUCCUUAAAAAAUCACCCAAUAGCAACCCGAGGAAGUUAAGAGACAUAAAUGAUCCAGAUAUGGUUCCAUUAUGCUCCCUCUGUUUGAUAAUAUAUGACGUUUUCUGGCAGUACACAAUGCCAAAAACGUCUUAUAUUAUGGGACAGAAGCGAGUUUGUGAUUCUUUUGGUUAUUCUUGAUUCCACAUGCUUCAUUUGGGUGAAUAAUCCAUUGGCAUCCAAAUUUGGAGAUUAAUUCACCUAUGUAAUGUGCAUAAUCAAUGACACAUUUUUGCUAUGAUGAAUAUGUAAAUAAAUUUUGUACAAUUCCAUAAAUACACAGUUAAGCAUUUUUGUUGUAAAGAUAAUGUAGAUAAUUUUUUAUAGCUUUGCAAAUAAGAUUAACCUUGGUGUAUAAAUCCGAUCAGAGUAGAGGUAGCUAUGCAAUGGUCUUGCGUCACAUCAUUAGUCUAAGGCUCUAACCACAUUCAUGGAGAAUCUAACAUCCCAACUACGCAUAUCUGUUUGUUCCAGAAGCCACGAAAUUGAGGUACGCAGAAGAUGAACAAACCUGAGAAUUGAUGAUCGAAUGAAGAGUCGGAGCUCGAGCAUCACAUAG